rnacentral:lncRNA from 1 species
AGGCAAACCGACUAUAGCUUCUUCUCCAGGACAGAAGGUCUAGAAUGUGUAGAGGCGGCGAAGGGGGCGGGCCACUAGGAGGCAGCGGCGGAGAUGACGGUGGUGGUGGUGGCGGCGGCGGCGAUGACGGCGGGGGCGACGGCCAGCUCGGAGGCUGCAGAGGUUAAGGUAGACGCGGCAGAAACUGCCUGCUCCGCUUCUGUGACUUUUUAAAUUGAAUGUGAUCAUUAACUUUUACCCAUGAAUAUAAAAAUGGAGCAGUUUUUCAACUACUCAUGAAAGAUUAUCCAUGAACGCUAAGAUUAUUUAAUUUUUCAUGGAGCGUAGAAUUCUGUGAAUCACUUCAUACAUAGGCUACUUAGUCAAAAGUCAAAUCUGUAAUUUCAUUUUCAAAUUUAAUUCUCUCUGGUUGCUAAAUCUUUACCUAGGUUGUGAGGGAACAUUUCAGAUAAUACAAGAUUCGGUGAAGAAAAAAUAUUAGUAUUUCUUCUGAGAAUUUUUCUUAAUGAAUUGUAAGUUACUGACCUUUCAAAAUAGAGAAAUUUAUGUUAUUUAAAAAUUUUUUUUUGUAAAAUUUUAUUUCUCUUCUUUCUUAAAAAAUACGUAAAAUAGGUUGGGCGUGAUGGCUCACACCUGUAAUCCAGGCACUUUGGGAGGCCAAGGUGGGCAGAUCACGAGGUCAAGAGAUCGAGACCACUCUGGCUAACAUGGUGAAACCCCAUCUUUACUGAAAAUACAAAAAGCCAGCUGUGGUGGCAUGCACCUGUAAUUCCAGCUACUCAGGAGGCUAAGGCAGGAGAAUCACUUCAACUUGGAGGCGGAGGAUCUUGCCACUGCACUCAUGAACUACAGAGGUCUGAAGAUGAGGAAGCAAACUGCCAUAUUUUCAGAUAUGUAGAAGACACAUCAAGGAACUCUGGGUGGCCUCUGGAAGCAGAGAGGUGUUCCCAGUUGACAAUUAGAAAAAACAAAAAACCGGGACUUCAGUCAUACAACCAGGAGGAAAUAAAUUCCCUCAACAACCAGGGAGCUUAAAAGAGGCCCCAGACCCUCACAGGAGAUUGAAGUCCCACCUACCAC